rnacentral:rRNA from 1 species
UAAACGCUAGCGGCAGGCCUAACACAUGCAAGUCGAGGGGUAACGAUGUCUUCGGACAGGCGACGACCGGCGCACGGGUGAGUAUCGCGUUUGUAACCUACCUUUAACUGGAGAAUAGCCCGAAGAAAUUCGGAUUAAUACUCCAUAAUACUAUGAACUGGCAUCUUUUUAUAGUUAAAGCUCCGGCGGUUAAAGAUGGGCAUGCGUAACAUUAGAUAGUUGGUGAGGUAACGGCUCACCAAGUCCACGAUGUUUAGGGGGUCUGAGAGGAUGGUCCCCCACACUGGUACUGAGACACGGACCAGACUCCUACGGGAGGCAGCAGUGAGGAAUAUUGGUCAAUGGGCGCAAGCCUGAACCAGCCAUGCCGCGUGAAGGAUGACAGCGCUACGCGUUGUAAACUUCUUUUGUACAGGAAGAAACGCUUCUACGUGUAGAAGUCUGACGGUACUGUACGAAUAAGCAUCGGCUAACUCC